ACCCGAAGGGAUAGAGCUCGGAAUGAGACUAUCCGGGAGAAGGUUGGGGUGACUUCAGUGGAGUGUAAGAUGCGGGAAGCACGAUUGAGAUGGUUCGGACACGUGAAGAGGAGGGGCAUGGAUGCCCCGGUCCGUAGGUGUGAGAGGCUAGCGUUGGAUGGUUUUAGACGGGGUAGGGGUAGACCGAAGAAGUACUGGGGUGAGGUGAUUAGGCGAGACAUGGAACAGUUACAGCUCACCGAGGACAUGACCCUAGAUAGGAAGGUCUGGAAGAUGCGAAUUACUGCAGAGGGUUAGGGCCUGUGCGGGUCGCUAAUGUAGGGAGGUAAUUGGUGGGGGUGUAUUCCUGGUAUGAUUCCGUAUUCAAUGUUCUGUUCCGUGUUCCGUGUUCUAUGUUUGUUACGAAUCUGUGUGCUUUCCUCUGCUUUAUAUUCCUGCAUCCCUGCUUUACUCUGUUUUAUAUUCCUUAUGGCUGC
rnacentral:lncRNA from 1 species